GACGUAGGGGGCAAGCGUUAUUCGGAAUUAUUGGGCGUAAAGCGCUCGUAGGCGGGACUGGAAGUCCGUGUUGAAAGACCUCGGCUCAACUGAGGGACCGGCUCGGAUACUCUAGUUCUUGAGGCAAUCAGAGGGUGAUGGAAUUCCCGGUGUAGCGGUGAAAUGCGUAGAUAUCGGGAGGAGCACCAGUGGCGAAGGCGAUCACCUGGGGUUGUUCUGACGCUGAGGAGCGAAAGCUAGGGGAGCAAACGGG
rnacentral:rRNA from 1 species